AUAAGAUCCUCGAUUCAGACACUAGUGGCCAAAUGCUCUCUCGUUCACAGCAGUGGGAUCACAACAUUGCUGUGAAAGUUUCAGAGUUUACUGCAACAUUUGAGAAACAAGUGCUUGCGUUUAAUAUAAUUUCCCGCAAGAGAGAUGUUGGAGAAUUCCGUACCGAGGAGAAACUGAUGUUAGAGCAGUCACUGUUGCAAGAAGAGAGGAAAAGCCUGCUUGAAUUGAAGACAGAGAUGGAGGCCAGGCAAAAGAUGGGUCGAGAGACUCAUGAUCCUAAUUUGCAAAUGGCAGCUCUUGUUCAUGCAGAACAAGCCCGUGCUGAAUCACAAGCUCGUGCUGAGAUGAUGAACCGAGCGCCAAUACGAGCUAGUGCACUUGGGCCUAGGGGGAGCAAUAUUCAAAUGGGUAAUGAUGUCGGUGAGCACGGACAGGAAGUUAGCCCUGAUGAAAUGAUCAACGGUUGGGGUAACAAUGGACAUAAAGAUGAAAAGGAACCAUCGGAGGACUUUUUGAAUGAUGAAGAAACUGAUAAUGGAGAUGUAGGUACUCAGAGUGAGUGGCG
rnacentral:misc_RNA from 1 species